AUUGANCGCUGGCGGAAUGCUUUACACAUGCAAGUCGAACGGCAGCACGGGUGCUUGCACCUGGUGGCGAGUGGCGAACGGGUGAGUAAUAUAUCGGAACGUAUCCAAUAAUGGGGGAUAACGAGUCGAAAGAUUCGCUAAUACCGCAUACGCCCUACGGGGGAAAGCAGGGGAUCUUCGGACCUUGCGUUAAUGGAGCGGCCGAUAUCUGAUUAGCUAGUUGGUGGGGUAAAAGCCCACCAAGGCGACGAUCAGUAGCUGGUCUGAGAGGACGACCAGCCACACUGGAACUGAGACACGGUCCAGACUCCUACGGGAGGCAGCAGUGGGGAAUUUUGGACAAUGGGCGAAAGCCUGAUCCAGCCAUUCCGCGUGAGUGAAGAAGGCCUUCGGGUUGUAAAGCUCUUUCGCAAGGGAAGAAAACUUACCUUCUAAUAAAGGGUGAGGAUGACGGUACCUUGAUAAGAAGCACCGGCUAACUACGUGCCAGCAGCCGCGGUAAUACGUAGGGUGCGAGCGUUAAUCGGAAUUACUGGGCGUAAAGCGUGCGCAGGCGGUUUUGUAAGUCAGAUGUGAAAUCCCCGGGCUCAACCUGGGAACUGCGUUUGAAACUACAAGACUAGAAUAUGUCAGAGGGGGGUAGAAUUCCACGUGUAGCAGUGAAAUGCGUAGAGAUGUGGAGGAAUACCAAUGGCGAAGCAGCCCCCUGGG
rnacentral:rRNA from 1 species